UACGAAGGGGGCUAGCGUUGCUCGGAAUCACUGGGCGUAAAGGGUGCGUAGGCGGGUCUUUAAGUCAGUGGUGAAAUCCUGGAGCUCAACUCCAGAACUGCCUUUGAUACUGAGGAUCUUGAGUACGGGAGAGGUGAGUGGAACUGCGAGUGUAGAGGUGAAAUUCGUAGAUAUUCGCAAGAACACCAGUGGCGAAGGCGGCUCACUGGCCCGUUACUGACGCUGAGGCACGAAAGCGUGGGGAGCAAACAGG
rnacentral:rRNA from 1 species